UACGGAGGGAGCUAGCGUUGUUCGGAAUUACUGGGCGUAAAGCGCUCGUAGGCGGCUUUGUAAGUUAGAGGUGAAAGCCCGGGGCUCAACCCCGGAAUUGCCUUUAAAACUGCAUCGCUUGAAUCCGGGAGAGGUGAGUGGAAUUCCGAGUGUAGAGGUGAAAUUCGUAGAUAUUCGGAAGAACACCAGUGGCGAAGGCGGCUCUCUGGACCGGCAUUGACGCUGAGGUGCGAAAGCGUGGGGAGCAAACAGG
rnacentral:rRNA from 1 species